UCCAUGAAUGGACCUUAGGUUAAAUUUUAUUAUGUGAUUAAUUAAAUUAAAUGUGAGAGACAUUUAAUUUAAUUAAUUAAUGUUAAGUUUGGUGAUUAAAACUUAAUAAGAGUGAAAAAAAGGUGUCAAAAGCCAAUUUGGACUUUUCUUCUUAUGAAACCUUUAUUAAAAAAAAAAAAAAAAAAUGAAAUGAUCAUAUAUGGCAAAGGGUGGCCGGCCAUGUGGUGUUUUAGAGUGGUGUGAACCCAAAUUUUAUAAAAUUUAAAUGCCAUUUAAUUAAGAGGUCAAGUGGGCAAGUGGGUAGAAAAGCACUCAAGUACCUUGUGAUAUUUUGAAGAGUAUUGUGAGCAAUUCCCACACUAAGAACCGAUCACUCUCCAUCUCUCAUUCACUAUCAUCUUUUUUGAAGACCUCUCAAAGUGUUCUCUCCAUUUUUCAAGCCCAAGAACACCAAGGAAACUUUGAGGCUAAGUCUUGGUCUAGGAAGUAUUUUCCCUAAGGGUUUUUGAAAGGUUUUGAAGGAGUCAAAGCUUAUAGGAAGGUCCAAACCUUAAGCAAGAACACCAAAGAGUAUUGGCUAAGCAUAACUGGACUGAACGUUGGAGGGUGAAAACUUGCUGAGCGCUAAGGACUCCAAGUAAGUGCAAGGGCAAGGCAGAGCAGUGAGCGCUGGAGUCUUCCUUGCAAAUGUACAUGUGGACCGACCUUUUGGGAAGCCUUUUUAUUUUUGGAAAUGUUGUGUAAUUUUCCUAAACUAGGCUCACUCUAAUCUUUAUAAAACAUGUUUGUAAUUAAAUGUUAAGUAUGGCCAUACGACUUUUUAAAAAGUUUUUUUUUCUA